rnacentral:lncRNA from 1 species
GGCGGCCGACAUGGAGGGGAGGGCGGCAGCCCGCGCAUAGCGGAGGGACUCACGCAGCCCACAUGGAGGGGAGUGGCAGUGCCGCCGGCACGGAGGGGAGGGACGGCGGCCCGCGCAUAGCGGAGGGACUCGCGCAGCCCACAUGGAGGGGAGUGGCAGUGCCCGCCAGCACGGAGGGGAGGGGCGGCGGUGGUCUGCACGGAUGGGAGAAGCAGCGGCAACCGACCUAGGAAUGGCGGUGGCGGUGGCACUGGAGGCAAAGGACGGCGGGUGAAAAAGAAUGAUAGGGAGGAAGAAGGCGGAGGGGCAAAAGCUUGGGAAGCUGGACCUGAGGAGCUUCUCCGCUUACGGUACAAACUCAGCUUUUGAAGUUUUUACUUUUAGAAGAAUCUAACCCCGUUUGGGGGGAGCUUUCUGAGGAAGCGAAAGCUGCUGGAAGCUCCCCCUAGCAGCUUCCCAAACAGGACCAUCAUGUUAUGUGUGCGUGCUUGAAUUUGUGCACCGAUGCGAGCGAAAAUCACAAAAAGAGAUUAACGAUUGGGACGACCUCGAAAUGCAAGGAAGAGAUGAACGUGAUCACGCAAACUGUGGGGCACCAUUUGCUCAAUCUGAUGAUGGCACGGUACAUGUACAUGGCACACAGGCACUUCUUUUUUCCCCUUGAAUUCUCGUACUAUUUUGGUUGACCCAGCACAUAUAAUUAACAGGCGCACGUAGAAAAUGUAUAGGAAGAGGAGUAAACCGUAAACGUUCCACCCACCUCGUCAGCCGUCUCCCCACCGGCCGCCCACGAACGCGCCCUUGAUCUUCCUGAAGAGCGCCUUGGGCGCGGCGAGCCAGCUGCCGGCGGCCCUGCGCGGGCGCCUCGCCACCCCGCGCCCGCCGGCGCCGUCCCCGUUCAGCAGCCGGUUCAGCCGCGCGACCAUCGCGUUGAGCUCGAACGAGUCGUACAGCGCCCCGCGCUGCCCGCCGACCGCCACGACGCCCAUGCCGCCGCCGCCGCCGCCGUCGCGCUCGGUGCCCCUUGGCUGCCCGCCGCGCCCGUGGCCGCCGCUCGCCUCGGUCGUCGUCGUCGCGCGCCCGGCGCCGCGGAGCUUGACGUCGUCGUCCGGAAACAUGCCCUGCCUCUGCGUAGACCGUAAAAGCUUUUACCUGGCGCUCGUUGCACUAGCAGUGUCUUUUACGGUGCGC